UACAAGGCUAUGUAGGAGCAGUUCUUGAGUAACUACAGCCCAUGGGAAGCUCAUACCAGAUCAGUUUGGGAAAGAUGACAUCACAUGGGAGGGACUCUAUGCUGAAGCAGGAGAAGAGAGAAACCACGAAGUAAAGUCAGAGACAAAGCACUAAGGACUGACUGAAGCUUCCAUUCCCUGUUGUUCUGCACAGCUCAGUGCAAGAAGAUAGAAGAAAGUGGAUAGGUGCAGUAUUCACAUUACUGUAGACAGACCUUCCUUCCUGAGAUUGUUCUACCAAAAGCUCUUGGCAUCUUCUACAGGCAUAUAGGACUGGACAUAGCUCUAGAAAACUGUGUUUUGACAAGCCUGGGUCAAUAUGUUUAUACUUGGGAACUCUGUUCUACUGCUGAGAACAAGUUAUUCUUUUUGUGGUAAGACCAUCUGGACAUCCAUCAUUGUGUCAGCCCUUGGCUCUACUCAGCUGCUGAGUAUGUUCUUGCCUUCUUCAGUAGAGUGAGCUGACCUAUUCUAACACAGUUUCAAGGAAUCCAUCAGCUACUAUAUUUGUUGUAUUAUAAAUGGUGUUUGCAAAUGUUUGUUGUUUUUUGUUUGUUUGUUCGUUUGUUUUGUUCUAUUUUUUUGUUAUUGAUGUUGUUCUUUUUUAAAUGAAUAUCUGAGUCUUCACUAGCUGAAUAGAUAGACAUUGAUUGCUUUUGCUACAUACAGCAGCAAGUUCUUCCUACUUUUGUGUAUUUUUCCAUAUCUUUUAUUAUCCAUUCAUAAUCUUCUUUAUUGUCACACUGACUUAACAAGAUGGGUUCAUAAUAAAGGCUUCUGCUUACUCAGAAACCUUUCUGAUUAUUUCCGUCUACUGAAGUCAGUCAGUUUUACCGAUGAUUUCAACAAGAGUAGAAUACCUCUGUGCACUAUUUACUAUUUUUUGCUUGCUUUGAAUUAAAAAGAUCUACAGAAGUGAUAAAAGUGUUAAAAUUAUAAAAUUGCUUUCUUACCUGGUACUGCUUUGAGGAAA
ensembl:lncRNA